rnacentral:lncRNA from 1 species
CAAGAUUAGCUUCUAGAUUGGGAUACGCGAUUAGAUGGCUCAAACCUUUUCUUGAAAUUCAGUGAGAAAAAUUCUUGCCAUUUUAAAGGUCAGGGUAAUGACAGUCGCAUUUUCUUUCGAGGGCCAUUGUAAAGAGAAUUGAGGAGACCCGCGCAUAGCACACAAUGGAUGGUGCUAUCUUGCUUGGGACGUGGGAGGAGAGUGCAGCUUGAAAGCUAGGUUAGAUCGUCAGAGUGCUUGUGUGUGUGUGUGUGUGUGUGUGUGUGUGUGUGUGUGUGUGUUUACUCUCUGUCGCUUGAGCAUACACGUGCGUCCAAGCGAGCGCGUCUGUUGUUUUUUUUUUCAGACCAGUUCUGGCAUAUUCCUCUUCAUUAAGAAUACGCGAAUAAAAUAAUCACAGGAGGCAGAGGGAGGGAGGGAUCUGGGUGGGAGAAGGAAGGGUGAGGGGAAAAGGGGAAUAUGAUCAGGUAUGGGAUUAUGGGGGACAAGAGAGAAGUCCUGAGGGCCAGCAGGGUGGAAAUAUGCAACCUCCGGGGUGGGUGGGAGGUGAAAGUACCUCUAGAGGGUAGGAGAGAACUGGGAGGUGAGAGACCUUAGAUGAAAUGCCCUUCAGUAGAAAGACAGGUCAUCAAGUGGAGGAAUGGGGUUGCCAUCCCACAGUCAAAAAUUCUGACCCAGAAUUGUUCCUGUCAAAAAGAACUGCAGGGACAAAAAAGGAGAAGAGACUGAGGAAAAGCAGGUAUAGUGACGGCCCAACUUGGAAUCCAGCUCAAGGAGAGGAUUCAAGGCCUGAUUCUAUUACUGAUGAUGCUAUGCUGUCUGCUUACACACAGGAGCCUAGCAUGGCUGACCUCUGAGAGGGCCAACAAGCAGCUGACUGAGGCAGAUGCAGAUUUUUACACCCAAUGAUUGGACUUAAGUCGGGGACCAUGUGGUUGCAUUAGAGAAAGGCUGGAAGAAGCUGAGGAGGAGGGCAACCCCAUAGGAAGACCAGCAGUCUCAACUAACCUGGACCCCAGAGAUCUCUCAGACACUGAGCCAUCUACCAGGCAACAUACACGAGCUGGUACUUGGCCCUGACACAUAUACAGCAGAGGACUGCCUGGUCUGGCCUCAGUGGGAGAAGAUGCACCUAACCCUUGAGAGACUGGAGGUCCCAAGGAGUGCAGAGGCCUGGCCUGGUGGGGGAGGAGUGGAGACAUCCUCUUGGAGACAGGUGGGAGGAGGAAUGGGAUGAGGAACUGUGGGAGGGGGGACCCGGAGGGAGGCAACGACUGGACUGUAAACAAAUAAAAGCAAU